UAGAUAGAGUUGGUGAGAGAGAGAGAGAGAGAGAGUUGGAGCUGGAAUCCAAGCUCACUCUCCCAGAUCAUCACCACCGUAUAUGCCACGUCACCAUCGGCCUCCGCCGCAGCCGGUGUUUGAUUACCGGAGCUAGGGUUUUCUUCCAAUCAGCAGAGCAACAUUGGCCUUCAACUUUCGUACUCCUCGUGAUGAUUUGCAACUGGAUAUACUGGACAAUGUGAAAAAUAUGAUAGCUGUGGAAGAAGUUGGAUUUGAUGUCCCCCAAAAAUGAGUCAACAAGAUUUCAACCACAGAUCAUCUCCUUGACAUUCCUCGCAACCCAUCCACAGGCCAAAAAUGAGAUUCUCUUUUUUGCAAAGUGAAAUUUUGUAGACAAACAUCGUUAUGUUCUUGCCUAUCAAUGUGGCGUACAUUGAUAGUUUGUAAUAAUUAUCCAUGGGCCAUUAAAGACAUCUUUGCCACAAUUUAUGCCUCCUAAAACCCGAGCCUUAUGCUUUGUAAUCAUAAUGAUGUUCUUAAAAGUCAAAUAUGGUGAUCUUCUUGUUUUAUGAAA